GGUAAAAAAAAGGUAAGCUACUAAGAGCGAAUGGUGGAUGCCUUGACUGGUAAAGGCGAUGAAGGACGUACUAGACUGCGAUAAGCUACGGGGAGCUGUCAAGAAGCUUUGAUCCGUAGAUUUCCGAAUGGGGCAACCCAAUGUAUAGAGAUAUACAUUACCUAUAUAGGAGCGAACGAGGGGAAUUGAAACAUCUUAGUACCCUCAGGAAAAGAAAUCAAUAGAGAUUGCGUCAGUAGCGGCGAGCGAAAGCGCAAGAGGGCAAACCCAGUGCUUGCACUGGGGGUUGUAGGACUGCAAUGUGCAAGAGCUGAGUUUAGCAGAACAUUCUGGAAAGUAUAGCCAUAGAGGGUGAUAGUCCCGUAUGCGAAAAACAAAGCUUAGCUAGCAGUAUCCUGAGUAGGGCGGGACACGAGGAAUCCUGUCUGAAUCCGGGUCGACCACGAUCCAACCCUAAAUACUAAUACCAGAUCGAUAGUGCACAAGUACCGUGAGGGAAAGGUGAAAAGAACUGAGGUGAUCAGAGUGAAAUAGAACCUGAAACCAUUUGCUUACAAUCAUUCAGAGCCCUAUGUAGCAAUACAGGGUGAUGGACUGCCUUUUGCAUAAUGAGCCUGCGAGUUGUGGUGUCUGGCAAGGUUAAGCAAACGCGAAGCCGUAGCGAAAGCGAGUCUGAAUAGGGCGCUUAGUCAGAUGCUGCAGACCCGAAACGAAGUGAUCUAUCCAUGAGCAAGUUGAAGCUAGUGUAAGAACUAGUGGAGGACUGAACCCAUAGGCGUUGAAAAGCCCCGGGAUGACUUGUGGAUAGGGGUGAAAGGCCAAUCAAACUUCGUGAUAGCUGGUUCUCUCCGAAAUAUAUUUAGGUAUAGCGUUGUGUCGUAAUAUAAGGGGGUAGAGCACUGAAUGGGCUAGGGCAUACACCAAUGUACCAAACCCUAUCAAACUCCGAAUACCUUAUAUGUAAUCACAGCAGUCAGGCGGCGAGUGAUAAAAUCCGUCGUCAAGAGGGAAACAACCCAGACUACCAGCUAAGGUCCCUAAAUCUUACUUAAGUGGAAAACGAUGUGAAGUUACUUAAACAACCAGGAGGUUGGCUUAGAAGCAGCCAUCCUUUAAAGAAAGCGUAAUAGCUCACUGGUCUAGUGAUUUUGCGCGGAAAAUAUAACGGGGCUAAAGUAAGUACCGAAGCUGUAGACUU
rnacentral:rRNA from 1 species